rnacentral:tRNA from 1 species
GGGGAUUUGGCUCAGUGGUAGAGUGCUUGCCUAGCAAGCGAAAGGCCCUGGGUUCGAUCCCCAGCUCCG